ACUCGGGGAGAAGACCCCUGAAGAACGCCUUAAACUACUUGGAAAAAUGAUGCUUAAAACCAUAUCCUAUCGAUACUUGCUGUUUCCGAUCCAUCACAGGUUUCAUUGGACAUUGCUUGUACUCGAUACUGAGGAAGGGAGAUGGAAGUUCUACAAUUCGAAAAGGCCGAGGACUGGUGUGGACAGUAAUUGUGAGGUUGCGGUGCAAUUGAAACAUCAAUUGGAGACUUACUGGAAGAGCAAAACAUAGGGACUGCUUUGUACACAAGACUGCCAAAGUAUCGAACAGGUUGAGACUAGCCCCCAAUAGGGAGAUAGUAGCCUAGACUGCGGUGUUAUAGUCUGCUAUAUUAUUCGCCAGCAUAUGCGAAAUGAGUCCAUUGCAUUGAAGUUUCCAACAGGAGAAUGCCGUAAGAUGCGGUCCAACAUGUUGCAUGCGUUCCUGAAUGACGACCAUUGUUCGUGGACAUUGGAAAAACAUUUGAAGGAUAAUGAGGAUUCCGAAAUGGAAAUGGCAAAUUAGUUCCUAAUGGGACAUUAUGUUGAAGUGGAGCGGCAUAGAAUCACGCUAAUAGUUUGUAGUAGUUUUUGGUACAAUGCAAAGCAUAACUUGAUGCCUACCAUAUUUUGAUAUCUUUGGGAAUUUGAAUCGGUUGAAGGUUGUUGGGGAUUAUAUUAUUAGAUGGUCAAUUCAAACAUAUAAGUGUAGUAUUAAUAACAGGGCUGGGAUUUUGGCGAGUUUCAUUGGUUACUCAAAUUAUUCUAAUUUUUUAUAUUGGCAUGUUGUGUAGUUCAAAUGGCAUAUGGGGUUGGUAAUUUGGUCAUGAUUUUGUUUGACCAACUUAUGUAUGUUCUUGUUCAUGGUGUAAUUUCUCUUCACACUCAGUUUGUUGAACGUAAAUCAUUGAAAUGAUUGG